rnacentral:rRNA from 1 species
AGAGUUUGAUCAUGGCUCAGAACGAACGCUGGCGGCAUGCCUAACACAUGCAAGUCGAACGAAGCCUUCGGGCUUAGUGGCGCACGGGUGCGUAACGCGUGGGAAUCUGCCCUUGGGUUCGGAAUAACAGUUAGAAAUGACUGCUAAUACCGGAUAAUGUCUUCGGACCAAAGAUUUAUCGCCCAGGGAUGAGCCCGCGUAGGAUUAGCUAGUUGGUGAGGUAAAGGCUCACCAAGGCGACGAUCCUUAGCUGGUCUGAGAGGAUGAUCAGCCACACCGGGACUGAGACACGGCCCAGACUCCUACGGGAGGCAGCAGUGGGGAAUAUUGGACAAUGGGCGAAAGCCUGAUCCAGCAAUGCCGCGUGAGUGAUGAAGGCCUUAGGGUUGUAAAGCUCUUUUACCCGGGAUGAUAAUGACAGUACCGGGAGAAUAAGCCCCGGCUAACUCCGUG